rnacentral:rRNA from 1 species
CUGCUGCCUUCCGUAGGAGUCUGGGCCGUGUCUCAGUCCCAAUGUGGCCGGCCAACCUCUCAGUCCGGCUACUGAUCGUCGCCUUGGUGGGCCGUUACCCCGCCAACCAGCUAAUCAGACGCGAGUCCAUCUCAGAGCGAUAAAUCUUUGAUAUCCAGUGCCAUGCGACACAGAUAUAUUAUGCGGUAUUAGCAGCUGUUUCCAGCUGUUAUUCCCCACUCCAAGGCAGGUUACU